rnacentral:misc_RNA from 1 species
CGAAAAAUGGUGAAGUUCCCGUUGGACCCUGCCCUUGCCAAAUUGCUCCUGAUGGGGGAACAACUAGAAUGCUUAAAUGAGGUUCUGACAAUUGUUUCUAUGCUUUCAGUGCCUUCUGUUUUCUUUAGACCCAAGGAUAGGGCUGAGGAAAGUGAUGCUGCUAGGGAAAAGUUUUUUGUGCCAGAAUCUGAUCACCUUACACUGCUUAAUGUUUACCAGCAAUGGAAAGCUAAUCAAUACAGAGGGGACUGGUGUAAUGACCACUAUUUACAGGUCAAAGGUUUACGCAAGGCUAGGGAAGUAAGGUCUCAAUUGCUGGAUAUCCUCAAGACACUUAAAAUUCCACUCACUUCCUGUGGUCCUGAUUGGGAUGUUGUAAGGAAAGCCAUCUGCUCUGCGUACUUCCAUAAUGCAGCUAGGCUGAAAGGAGUUGGGGAAUAUGUUAAUUGCAGG